rnacentral:ncRNA from 1 species
AGUCAAACAAAGAGCAAGAGGAGUAUGUUAUCCGUGUGUCUACAGAAAAAAAACCCAAGGCUGAAAGGUUUUUGUCGCACGUAACAGAAGGUAGCUUGUGAGUUAUGGCUUUGAACAAAAAGUAGGAGCCAUCGUGUCGUGUUCGUUAACACACGUAUUAAGAGGCAGAGCAUUCUGCAAUUUAGGUGGUACCGCGUAAUUUACGUCCUAAUG